CUACGGAGGAUGCGAGCGUUAUCCGGAUUUAUUGGGUUUAAAGGGAGCGUAGGUGGGAUAUUAAGUCAGCUGUGAAAGUUUGGGGCUCAACCUUAAAAUUGCAGUUGAUACUGGUUUCCUUGAGUACGGUACAGGUGGGCGGAAUUCGUGGUGUAGCGGUGAAAUGCUUAGAUAUCACGAAGAACUCCGAUCGCGAAGGCUGCUCACCGGGCCGGAACUGACACUGAUGCUCGAAAGUGCUGGUAUCAAACAGGAUUAGAUGCCCUGGUAGUCCGCACAGUAAACGAUGAAUACUCGCUGUUUGCGAUACACUGUAAGCGCCCAAGCGAAAGCGUUAAGUAUUCCACCUGGGGAGUACGCCGGCAGCGGUGAAACUCAAAGGAAUUGACGGGG
rnacentral:rRNA from 1 species